UGAACCUACAUGUAAAUACCGAAAAGGACCUCCUCAGUGCUCUAAGAAGAAACAUUUGAAAACAAGUCUAUAAUAUUUGCACAAUUAAAUGAGUGUUUUAUUGGCGCAAAUGAAUGUUGCAGUUUUUAUGAUAAAGUGAUAAAAAAAAAAAAAAAGAAUUCGCGUAAUUAACUUGUGGCGCAAAUUUAUUCUUUUUUAGCCAAACUGGAUAUCGGCC
rnacentral:lncRNA from 1 species